rnacentral:piRNA from 1 species
UUCAACUGGAAAUACUAUUUGAACACUUUA